rnacentral:ncRNA from 1 species
AUAUUACUGCCACCGGGUAGGAAUGCAUAACAGCAUUCAUGUGUGUAUCGUUAGGUCAAAGAAGAUACGCAUGUGAGUGCUUUUUUAUU